UACAGAAGGGGUGCCGGUGUUUUUCACUGAGCUGAGAUGAUACCCAUUGAACCUGAUACGGAUAAUGCCGACACAGGGAUAAUU
rnacentral:ncRNA from 1 species